CAUCUUUUCCAGAGCAGUGCCCAUUUGGCUCUCUAACUUAGAAAGGCAUUUUAGGUGUCACCUAGUCUUGGCAUCAGUUGUGCUCUCCUCUCAGCCAUAGUCCUCUUCUAGGACUCCUAAGGAGCAGACACACAUCGUGGAAGUCACUUUUGGAAUAUGUAAUAGCAAUUAUUAAAAAAAAAAAGCCUCACUGAAUUCCCCAGAGAUUCCAUUUCUGCACUAAACACUAGAAAAGUGUGUCAGCAUGCUGCUUGAUCCUCCUUCUGCCAGAGAAGACAAGCCUAACACAUGGCUAUGGAUCUGUUCAAAUGACAGGUGAAGGUGAGAGCAUCAAAUCGGACACAGUCUCUAUCGGCGAGGAUGAACAGGCAGGAGAAAGAGGAGAAAAGAUAAACCCACAAUGGUCGCAGUCUCGGUGCCUGGAUUUGCAUCACAAAAGAAAUCAACAAACAACAACAAAUUGCCAUCUUGUUCCAAGCUGAUACGGCACAGUUGACAAGAAGAAAGCACUUUUUUUUUUCUCUC